rnacentral:rRNA from 1 species
GCCAGACUCCUACGGGAGGCAGCAGUGGGGGAUAUUGCACAAUGGGGGGAACCCUGAUGCAGCGACGCCGCGUGGGUGAAGGAGCGUUUCGGCGCGUAAAGCCCUCUCAGCAGGGAAGAAGAUGGCGGUACCUGACCAAGAAGCUCCGGCUAAAUACGUGCCAGCAGCCGCGGUAAUACGUAUGGAGCAAGCGUUAUCCGGAUUUACUGGGUGUAAAGGGAGCGCAGGCGGCCUUGCAAGUCUGAUGUGAAAGGCCGGGGCCCAACCCCGGGACUGCAUUGGAAACUGCGAGGCUGGAGUGUCGGAGAGGCAGGCGGAAUUCCUAGUGUAGCGGUGAAAUGCGUAGAUAUCAGGAGGAACACCGGUGGCGAAGGCGGCCUGCUGGACUGCAACUGACGUUGAGGCCCGAAAGCGUGGGGAGCAAACAGGAUUAGAUACCCUCGUAA